UCAAAGACCUGUUCUCGUACGAUCACCGAAGUUAAGCAACGUCGAGUCUGGUUAGUACCUCGACGGGUAACUGCUUAGGAAUACCAAGUGCU